CCCCCAAAAUCUUUGUGAAAUACAAAAACGUAAAAAACGAGACCGAGUGGAAUCGUCAGAGCAACCGAGUUAAAGCGGCGGCGCUUCCGAGUCAAACGGCGAUUCACUCGGAAAAUGGAUGUUUUAGAACUGAAGAAAGGACUAAAUAUCGGAGGAGAGAUAGAAAGAGUGAAUGGGAAGGAACUGAGUUACACCGAGUUCGUGAAAAAUUACCUCACCAAGAACAAACCUGUAAUUCUCACAGGUUUAAUGGACGAUUGGAAAGCUUGCGAAGAUUGGGUCGACGAUUAUGGAAAACCUAAUUUUGAUUUCUUCUCUGCGCACUUCGGAAAAUCGCAAGUUCAGGUUGCGGAUUGCUAUAAUAGGGAAUUCACUGAUCAAAGGAGAUUAGACAUGCCGGUCUCGGAGUUCACAGAAUACUGGGUUGCACUCAACAGUGAAACUGAUACUCAUGAUGAUAAGUCCUUGUUAUAUUUAAAGGAUUGGCACUUUGUCAAGGAGUACCCUGCAUACAAGGCAUAUGUUACUCCACCCUUUUUCAAUGAUGAUUGGCUGAACCUGUACCUUGACCAGUAUCGCAUGCAUAAUGAUCCUGAUUACCAGGAGAGAAAUGAAAUUAGUUGCUCUGACUAUCGGUUUGUUUACAUGGGACCAAAAGGUACAUGGACUCCUUUGCAUGCUGAUGUUUUUAGGUCAUACAGUUGGUCAGCCAAUGUAUGUGGGACAAAGUUAUGGUUUUUCCUUUCUCCUGAUCAACAUCAGCUUGUGUUUGACAGGCAUAUGAAAAAUUCGGUGUAUAAUAUUUUUGAGGAUGUCAAUCAAUCUAAGUUUCCUGAUUUUAAGAAGGCUAUCUGGUCGGAAUGCACACAACUAAAGAAUGAAAUAAUAUUUGUUCCCAGUGGAUGGUACCAUCAAGUCCAUAAUCUGGAAGACGCAGUAUCUAUCAAUCACAACUGGUUCAAUGCUUAUAAUCUUGAUUGGGUGUGGGAUUUGCUUGUAGGGGACUACAAUGAGGCUAAGGAGUUAAUAGAGGAUGUUAGGGACAUAUGUGACGAUUUUGAGAGCCUCUGCCAGCGUAAUCUUGCUGCUAAUACAGGCAUGAACUUCUAUGAUUUCUUCAACUUCAUUGUACGCAUGUCUUUUGCCAACUUGCUCCAUCUUUGCGAUCUUCCUGAAGGCUGCAAACAUGAUUCACCAGCUUCAUGUUCGUUGGCUGAGCAUACUAUUUUGAAUCUAAUUUCUAUAAGGAGAGUUGCUUUAAGAAUGAGAUCCACGAUUUUAGUAGAAGACAGGGGAGUCUUGUUGGAUAUACAGAAGAGCUUGAGGGACCCCUUAUUUGUUGAAAUGUACUCUGCUCUGAAAAGAAGGAACAGGAAAAAACUGAAUUAUGAGGAGGAACUGUAGCUCCUUAUGUGUUGGAGUUAGUCAGUUGUACGUAGCUUAAGUGACUUAUGCUGGAGAUUAUAAUUAAUCUCGUCUGUGUUACUUAGACUUGAAAAGAGAAGGUAUCAGAUAGAGAUGCAAAUCCAAGAAUUACGCCAACUAUUUUCAAGCGGGCACAUGCUAAACCUUGUGUUCUGGUGAAUUUAGUUACUCAGGCUAUUGAUGUUCGAUGUUUUCACUCCAUUACAAGAACUUAGGUCAAAAUUUUGGGGUUUGAGGUGCAUGUGUUUUCCCUAUUCCAUUCACUUAGGUAAAAUCAACAUCCUCAUGUUCUUCUUUGCUUAUUCGAUCCCCGAAUUAAUUUAUGCUCCCUAAGAAUUAGCAAUUACUGUUAAUGAAGUACUUCUUUUGGAAUGAAAGUGUGAAGAAUAGAAGGGACAAACAUUUGAACACAGACGAUAAAACUUGUAAUAUAUCAACAACUUGUAUUUUUUUUUAGAUAUACACUAGUCUUGAAAUUGAAUAAUUCGUUUUUGUAGAAUUAAUAUAAUAGACUACUAAAAAAUCAUUUACUUAUAACCUAGCCCUGGUGAAAUAGGCAUUAGGAAAAUGAAAAAUCAAGCAAAAUCAAAAUAACAAAUGUAAUUUUUCUCUAUUAAGGACAUCUUACAUUUCUUCCAGGUCCUCCAUAAUAAAAGUAAUUACCCCAAACAUUAUUUCUUCCUUGUCUUAUAUUGUAGCAAUUAGGAUGAUCAGCCAGAAGCUGCAGAUUUGACAAAGGAAUCAAGUUAUUAUCCCAAUCAACAGCUUGUAUAUUACGAAAAUAUGCUGCUUUGCUGAACCCUUCAUCUGGGAAAUGACCACUCCCCAUUUGAGUAGAUGUAUGGAAUCCUGAGGAUCUGCUGUUAACAAUUUCUCCUCCAAACUGAAUCAUGUUUGCAUGCAUCCGUAGGUGACUGAACAAGAAUGCUGGCCAGUACCCUACUAGUAACCCUGAUCCGAGUUCAAGCCACCAGUGUCCGUGCUUCGGAUCCUGCACAUGAAACACACCUCUGUUUAGAUAAGUUCAGUUAAAAAAAGAAAUUAUGUGAACAAUAGCAAUGUACUAGUUUGAGUUUUCUCUCUGUCUUGUCGUUGUGCACUGGUUUCAGAGAAUAUAAAAAGUUCCGAAAAUGACUUUGAAACUACAUGGUUUUGAAAAUGACUCUGUACUUCAUAUCUGUCAUUUCCUAGGUUUUCUUGUUUUCUUCUCCAUUGCUCUAGGUCCUAAUUUAUUAGUCAAGCAGUUCAAACUUGUGCAGGAUUAAUGCUUUGAAAGUUAAUUGUAAGCUAUUCAUUUCCAUGCUUUAUCCCUAUAUUCAAAUAUAAACAAACCUAAAUAACUACAGUCAAAUGUUGACAUGCUAUUUAUACUGCAUAUGUAAACUUUACAUUGUAAAGUUUGACAAGAAAUGAA